rnacentral:lncRNA from 1 species
ACUCAAUCCAUUAUUAUUUCCCUUAGUGGAUAGCAGAGGGGUGUUUUAAUCUUUCCCCAUUGGGCCUUCUUGAAGGAAGUCUACCCACCCUUUGGUUUCUCUCUCUUUUAUCUCUUUUGCUGGCUCUUGGCCUGUGUUCAGUGUGGGCCCCUGGACCACAGCACCUGCAUCUCUGCCCACCCCCAGCCCAAAAGGAAGUGCCUCUAAAAAAGCAGAGUUGGGAGUGGCCUUUCUGCUCUUUGGUCCCAACCUUCAAGGCUCCUCCCAUCCCAAUCACAAUAUAAUAAAACCAGUGACCAAUGGAGGGAGAGUCCUUGGAGCAAGUUUAGAACCAGGACCCAGAAGAAAGGGUCAAGGGAGAAUCUCUCUGGUGUCUUGCAGCUAGGAGCAUGGGGGGAACCCUUCUCUUGCUUUUGCUUUCCCAACUUCCUGCUCACCUGUCCUGUGCCCACAUGAAGCAGGAGGUCUCUGUCACAGGCAUUCAGGGAGACUCAGCUCGAAUGACCUGUCAGGUCUCUAAUGCUGCUUCCAGCUGGAUACACUGGUACCGGUUUCAGGAUGGGAAGCCCCCACAGCGCCUUCUCUACUUGUCCCGGGUAUCAGGCGAGCUGCAUUUUGAUGAGGGCUUUGGCAGUAAUAAAUUUCAUGCUUUUAAGGAUCAGUUUAAUGGUGAGAAGUUUAUCUUGUUAAUCAAAAAGCUGGAAGUGAGAGACAGUGGCAUGUAUUACUGCGCUAUCUGGGACUGGGACGACCACAGUGCACCAGGAUGCAUCUCCUCCCCACACAAAAGGCCCUGCUGGAAACAACUUGGAUCAGCUGGUGCUGAACAAAGCAGGGAAAGCUUCUGCUUCAAC